rnacentral:rRNA from 1 species
AUUACGUCCCUGCCCUUUGUACACACCGCCCGUCGCUACUACCGAUUGAAUGGCUUAGUGAGGCCUUCGUAUCGGCGUUUGGGAGCCGGCAACGGCACCCGAGUGCUGAAAAGUUGUACGAACUUGGUCAUUUAGAGGAAGUAAAAGUCGUAACAAGGUUUUCGUAGGUGAACCUGCGGAAGGAUCAUUAGUGAAAUAGGGUGCUUGCAAAAGGCCCGAAAACACUUUCCACACACUAGUGCACUUGAAACUUUUUAAACACUUUGUGUUAAUAUAAAAGAUGAUGAUGUAAUUUGAUAAACGAAAGAACAACUUUCAGCAAUGGAUUUCUUGGCUCUCGCAUCGAUGAAGAACGCAGCGAAUUGCGAUACGUAAUGUGAAUUGCAGAACUCAGUGAAUCAUCGAAUUUUUGAACGCAUCUUGCGCUCUUUGGUUAUUCCGAAGAGCAUGCUUGUUUGAGUGUCUCGUACCUCUCAGCCCCGCCAAUUCUUAAUUGAGUUGGUAGUUGGGUCUGGAUCAUAGUUUCUGCCAGACGUUUAACCUUGUGUUAAAUGGUUAAUGGCUGGACUGAAAUAUAGUAAAGCUGGAUAGAAUACGAUACGGCUUGACCUGAUGUUGUAGACUUUUUGAACUAUUCGAAACUUCGUCGGGGAUCGUUAUCGAAAUCUAAGGAGCUUCUCAUAAUGUUGUAAUAGAUCAUUUUGACCUCAAAUCAAGUAGGACUACCCGCUGAACU